CGAAUUUAUACAGACGUAAGAGUGCGGUACAAACCACUUAAAAUUUUCGGUACCAUGUUUUCUUCUUCUUGUUGGGCAGAAAAUUUCCGAGGGGGCUAGUUAUUACCAUAUUGCGGUAGUUUUUUACGCAUUGGUUUACCCCUUUCACAAGAUUUUGACAGUUUUUCGCCACCUUCGCCGCCGCUUUCGCCGCUUGUUUUGUUUACAUAUUUUGAUGGUGCGCGGUCAGAAAGUACAAAUUGGAUGAAAAUUCGGAAAAUUCAAUCCGUUUCCGCGGUUCUGGUGGGAGGAUCUUCAAAAGAACACGAGGAAUCGGCCGGUUUAUUCAGUCGUUGCCGAAGUCAACAAGCGCCAAAAGCUCUACUAAGCUAAGCUGGUGCCGGAAGCUACGGUGACGUCCAGUCCUUGCAGGAAGACAAAGAAGAUUGAGGCAAUACGUUGGAUCUUCUGUGCAAAAUGCUAUCAGCUCGACCUCGACAGAAUCCGACAUGCAGCAAAAGUAUAAGGCCUUAAGGAAUCCCCCCGUGUGGCCCUUUGCAACAACAUCGAUACAUACUCGCUCGACCUUGUAUGCAAAAGUGUGGGAUUGGUGUCCCGCAGCCAGAUUUACAUUGGGGACUAUCAGCAGGAGCUUAGCUGUCAUGUAGGCGUUAUUAAUUGGUUUCGGAGAUUCGUCGGCUUUUCGGUAGGAGGAACUGCUACAAACGCAAAUGUACGUAUUUGCAUGAACCAUUACUAAAAAAGCGCCUUUAAUGGACUUACAAAGAUUGUUUUCUGCAGUUAAUUGAAACAUUGAUUGGAGGGAUCAGCCAAGGUGUGGCCUGUAAAAAAAAUACAGCCACAAAACGACGGCAGGGUGCCCACCAAGUUGAAAUGAUUGAAUCUCCGCCAAUUUUGUAUCGAUUUUAGAAAUUUCGAGGUUAUCUCACAAACUUUUUGUCCUGUAACGACGUAUGAUGAACUUGCUCGAAGGUGCUGCAUUCUGCUCUGUUCGUUGACAAAUGCAGCAACUUCGAGCAAGUGCAACCUGCUUCGUUGAACAGAUCGAGAUAAUAUUCGGUUGGACCGGUCCGAUCAGAGCGGGUGCCGGAUUUCCAAGGAAAUGUUUUUAAGCAACAUGUACGGGUUUUCGGUAGGUCAGCAGCAGCAGGGUAUAAAUCAUCUCAAAAUUGCUUCAAUAAAAAGAUUCGGAGCAGUCUCGAAUAAAAGGGUUUGAGUGGUGUUGACUUCGAGAAAUUUUCAUUUCGGAACAAGCUUCCUGUGGAGCCAUGACUGGCCUUAAACCUUGCUGGCCCAACCGAACAUGAUCUCUAAAAUUUUUAAAAUCGAUAAAAGAAAUCGUAAAAUGCAUACGAUAUUUGCAUACGAUAUGCUAACGUAUUUAUUUGGUUCAUUCGAAUCCGCAGCUCAUUUGAUUUGCUGGCGUAAACAAAAAUGCAAACGAUUCACGUUCAAAAGUGGAUGUGAUCCAAUGAGAGUAUAUUACUAUUAGACUCUAAUUAGAUGUGAUCGUACGUAGUACAAGAGGGUGAUAAGAAAUUAUAUUUCGUGGGUAACCGGAUACCCUGCCGGUGUUCCACCUUAUAAAAAAUCGGAGCCCUUCCCCUAAUGUGGGGGAUCCCUCAUCAAGCCUUCUGAUCCGUCUUAAUACUUCAUGCAUUAUGAUGGCCUGGCCAGGUUUUCCAUCUGUAUUGCAAAGCACUAGCCGUAAUCGUUACAUUCCUGUGUAGCUAGAGGCACUCAAAAUGACCGCUUAUUGCUGGCAGAUAUAGUGAAAAGCUUGUCUUAAAAUGCAUAUCAUUCGUCACUUCAUAUUUGGCGUAAAUAAUUGAAAUUUUGAUUACAUAAUCGGUUCGUGUAGUACACGAUUUUUCAACCAGGCACGAAGAUACUCUAUGCCCAAGAAAGUCAAGGAAAUUUCCUUUACGAAAAGAUCCGUGCGUUUACCGCCUCGGCUAUAUGGGCCCUUACAAAGUUAUAUUUGCUUAAGUGGCACCCGGUCAGUUUUUUUUUCAUAUUCAAACUGCUACAACUUGGAAAGUAUUCAUACAAAAUGGCUCAAAAUGUUAAUAAGAACAUAUUUUCAUAAUAGUAUUAUACAGUAAAAUUUUGAUAAAAAUCGGAGCAGCAUUGGUAGUUCUAUAAUCAAAAUUGCGCUUUACUGUCCUUAAAUUUCCGAAAAUUUACUAUGAAGCGCCUUUGUACAAAAUUUUAGAAAGGUAGGUCGAUGGUUUUAUCUAUAUAUCAACCAAUACUUAAUCGUUUUUGAUGAAAAUUUUAUGGUAUAAGCUACAUAUAAUGUAGCAUUACUGGUCCGAAAAUCAGCUGUUUUGGCAGUCUAAAGUUAUGAAAAAAAAUGUGUGACAAAAUUUUGACCGUAUCACCCUUUAUGUAAGAAUUUGUGUGUGUAAUGUAGUUGAUUGUAGGUUUAUCAAAAACCGUUCAGUCAGAUGUGUACUGUAAUUUACUUAAGUUAUACUCCCUGGGCAACGACACAACCUUGUGAUCAGCUUGAUAGCUGUCAGGUCUCAGGGCUUAAAUGUAUCUUUACUCUACAGAGAAAGAUGUACACUCGUGGUGCCAACAAGAACAGAUAGUUUUCAUGAUCAAACGAAGAAGCGUCACGGUCGUUUUUUGUUGGUUUUGAUAUAUUUGAUUUCAAUUUACAGGAAGAAAGUUUAUACACAAUUUGUCCUUCUAUUUUUUGAAAUUAUUUUUAAUCAAGCUUCCACUAUUGAAGACACAAGAACAAGAAUCACAAGAAGAACUAGCAUAAGUGGUUCACUGAAAAUCAAGCAUCAUAUCGUCAAACUUGUUCAUUUUGAGUGAAAAUACGCAAAGGUAAAUAACGUUGACCAUUUAAUUAACAACAAAUUCUUUCACACUUAAAAGCCGCAUGGCUAAAGAGGUUGCAAUGCCUACUCCCAAAUUCUACGUUGUAUUAUGGACGAUGUGAGUUCUUACCCGAAUAGCAAAAUACCCUUUGUCAUAAUGUCCAAACAGUAACUUCAUCUCAUCCGUCAAGGUAACUUUAUCUCAAACAGCUUAUUGUAUGUUGAACAAUAAGAAACAAAUCACCAGACACUAUAAAUGACAGUUUGUGCAAUCCAUGUCAAGCAGUAACACUAUAUCAUACUAUCCAGGCAUUGUCGAAUUAUAUGGAGGUGGUUUAUGGUUCAACUGUUCUCUAAACAUAUGCUAUGCAGUGAAUUGUACGAAAAACUGGAUAAUGUAUUGACCGUAUCCUUUACUGUAUUGCGAAAAAUUUGUUCGAGAAAACGAGCGAUUUUUUAUGGUAACCAUAGGCGCCAACUUGUGACGUAGUUGGGGGGGGCGAAGCUCGCCAAAAUUGGACAAAAUUCAACUUUUUUUAGCUCAAUGCACUAGUUUUCACGUCAAUAUGCCUAAACUAGAUGAACUGCGUCGAAAUUUUACGAAUUUAGUUGAUUUUGAGAGGCCUCGCCCCCCCAACUACGUCACAAGUUGGCGCGUAUGAUGGUAACCAAUCUUAACCGCCUAUUCUACAUACUGUAAAUUGCCGGCUUACCAUUUCUCAAACUGGCAAAUCUAUACAUAGAAUGGUUAUCUUACUGUUAUCUCGGACAGUCUGAGAAUUGGUUAAAAGACAAUUGCUUAUGGUCAUCCACAGUAUGAGAUACGUUACAUUAACAGUUCGUGAUUAUGCGGGUAGACUUAGACCCUUGUGCAUCAAUAAAAUAAAUACUGAAUAAACAUAAGUGAUACUCUCGAUUUAAUCCACCUAUGGUGAACAGAACCCUUCUUACACUUAUUAAAACUAUUGUUGUUACACUUAUUAAACUAUUCGUAUUUAACAUAUUUAUACAACAAAACUUCCUGAAUCCCCCUGAAACAAAAGUUUUAUUAGCAAUUAAAAUCAAAACAUAAACAUUACAAAAAUACAACAAAUUUAAAUCUGGUCUGCUACUACUUUAGGUAGCAAAAUAGCAAGAUUAAAAUUUGAUGAAAUGUGGUAGAUCUUACACCGUAACGCACCGUUCUAAGGUCAUCUACCCACGUUACGGAACCUAGUCUUCAAACAUUCAAAAAUAAAAAUGAAAUCUGAACGGUUAAAAGAAUCUCACAAUAAAAGUUGAAAUAAAUGGAAGUUAUUAUUUUUCUUGUUAUUUUUAGAGUACUGCUCCACAAAACCAUCAAGUUGGUUUGUUGUCUAGCUAAAUGUAUAAAAUAAAUUAAAUCUCAUAGUAACUUGCACUUCACGUUCUAGACAUAUUUUUGCUGGUGGAACACGCCCCUAAUUAUGGAUACCAUAAGAAGCUGUUGUCCUUAUUCUAAAUACACAGUGUUACUUACUGUUAACAAACACAUUGUCUACGUUCGCAAUUGAAUCAAGAACGAUAUUUUUUGUAACGAUUGGAUCAUAGAGGGCAUCAAUAAAAUUAACGUCUCAACUCUCGAUUCAAUAUAUUACAUCAUAAGAAAAAAAAUCUAAUUUGGAUUUGCCAACUGUUCAGAAUAUAGAGCUGUCUAUAAUAAGGUGCUCGAUAAUUAUUAAUUAUUAAUAGUGUUCAACUAAAGAACAGGGGAUUUUUUAUUAUCGUACAAAUUCGUUGGUACCACAAACGAAGAUUCGUCUGUGUUGGUACUAAAGUUCCCAGAAUUUAAUGGAAUAUUUUUCACUGGUAGGGUUCACAAAUAAACAAAAACUAAAUUGAGGGUCGCCUAAUUUUCCGGAAAACUCCAAUGCAAAACAAGCAUUUUCCAUAGACAUCACCUUUUUUGAGAAAUCACAACUCAGGAACGAAGCAUCGUAGAAGUUUCCACUGUUGAGGAAAAUCGUUUGGAAAAGUCGGAAAAAAUAUUUACGAAGUCCAAAAAAAACAAAAAUAUUAUUUUUGGAAGCAAAUUUUAUAAGCUAUAUUCUGUGACAUUUUCAAGAUGUGGUUUUUUCUUUCCUGAGUAAUGAUUAUUUUUGUGCAAAUUAAUAAUCAAGACGGUCGAAAAUCAACCAACAUCUGGACAAUUUCCACAAAAUUGAUCAUCAGGAAUGAAAAAAAAAACACAUCUUGAAAAUUUUACAGAAACUAAAAAAAAUAUUUUUUUGAGAAUUUUCCGGACUUCGUAUAAUUAGUUUUUUCGAUUAUUCCAACCGAUUUUCCUCAUCAGUGGAAAAUUUAGUGGAAAACAUUUUUCAUUUUGUAUUUUUUUCUUGGAUUGCUGAGAAAAUUUGCUUAUGAUUUCACAAAAAAAAAUUGUCUACGAUGCUUCAUUCUUGAGUUAUGGUUUUUCAAAGUAGGUGGCGUCUGUGGAAAAUGUUUGGAGUUUUCUGGAAAAAUUAGGCGACCCUGUUUUUUUUUAAUUUAGCUUUUGUUCAUAUAUAUUUAAACCCCAUCCGUGAACAAAAAUUUCAUUAAAUUCUGAAAACCUUCGAACUAAUUUGUACGUUAAUAAAAAAAAUCCUCAACAGUUAGAAAUUUGGUACUUAUUAUAUCAGAAAUUUAUAAAUAAAACCCCCAUGCUUAUCCGUUAAUUAUUUUUUUAAACCCG